UGGGGAAUAUUGGACAAUGGGGGAAACCCUGAUCCAGCAAUGCCGCGUGUGUGAAGAAGGCCUGAGGGUUGUAAAGCACUUUCAGUUGGGAGGAGUAUAUGCAGGUUAAGAGCCAGCAUAUUGGACGUUACCGACAGAAGAAGCACCGGCUAACUCCGUGCCAGCAGCCGCGGUAAUACGGAGGGUGCAAGCGUUAAUCUGAAUUACCGGGCGUAAAGGGUGCGUAUGUGGUUGAUUAAGUUAGGUGUGAAAUUCCUGGGCUUAACCUGGGCUGGAAACUUAAAACUGGUCGACUUGAGUAUGGGAGAGUGUAGUGGAAUUUCCGGUGUAGCGGUGAAAUGCGUAGAGAUCGGAAGGAACACCAGUGGCGAAGGCGGCUACCUGGCCUAAUACUGACACUGAAGCACGAAAGCGUGGGGAGCGAACAGG
rnacentral:rRNA from 1 species